CUUAAACUGAACUCUUUCCUUCAGUCAGCAUUAGGGUUUUAAACCCUAAACUAAACUUUUUCCUUCAGUCAGCAUUAGGGUUUUAAACCCUAAACUGAACUUUUUCCAUUCAGUCAGCAUUAGGGUUUUAAACCCUAAACUAAACCUUUUUCAUUUAGUCAGCAUUAGGGUUUUAAACCUUAAACUGAACUUUUUCCUUCAGUCAGCAUUAGGGUUUUAAACCCUAAACUGAACUCUUUCCUUUAGUCAGCAUUAGGGUUUUAAACCCUAAACUGAACUCUUUCCUUUAGUCAGCAUUAGGGUUUUAAACCCUAAACUGAACUAUUUCCUUUAGUCAGCAUUAGGGUUUUAAACCCUAAACUGAACUCUUUCCAUUCAGUCAGCAUUAGGGUUUUAAACCCUAAACUAAACUCUUUUCCUUCAGUCAGCAUUAGGGUUUUAAACCCUAAACUGAACUCUUUUCCUUCAGUCAGCAUUAGGGUUUUAAACCCUAAACUGAACUUUUUCCAUUCAGUCAGCAUUAGGGUUUUAAACCCUAAACUAAACUUUUUUCAUUUAGUCAGCAUUAGGGUUUUAAACCUUAAACUGAACUCUUUCCUUAGUCAGCAUUAGGGUUUCAAACCCUAAACUGAACUUUUCCUUUCAGUCAGCAUUAGGGUUUUAAACCCUAAACUGAACUUUUCCCUUUCAGUCAGCAUUAGGGUUUUAAAACCCUAAACUAAACUCUUCCCUUUCAGUCAGCAUUAGGGUUUUAAACCCUAAACUGAACUUUUUUCGUUUAGUCAGCAUUAGGGUUUUAAACCCUAAACUGAACUCUUUCCUUUAGUCAGCAUUAGGGUUUUAAACCCUAAACUGAACUUCUGUCCAUUCAGUCAGCAUUAGGGCCCCAACCCUAAACUGAACUUUUCCCCAGU
rnacentral:lncRNA from 1 species